UACGUAGGGUCCGAGCGUUGUCCGGAAUUAUUGGGCGUAAAGGGCUCGUAGGCGGUCCGUCACGUCGGGAGUGAAAACCCGGGGCUCAACUCCGGGCCUGCAGCCGAUACGGGCAGACUAGAGUUCGGCAGGGGAGACUGGAAUUCCUGGUGUAGCGGUGAAAUGCGCAGAUAUCAGGAGGAACACCGGUGGCGAAGGCGGGUCUCUGGGCCGAUACUGACGCUGAGGAGCGAAAGCGUGGGGAGCGAACAGG
rnacentral:rRNA from 1 species